GGCGAAGCUGGCAGCCCCCACCAGCGCAGCUGUGCCGGCACAGAGACACGCGGUGCCCGCCUGGGGGAAGCAUGCAGCCGGCUGCCGGCGUGGCGUGGGCUGUGGUGGCUGGGGACAGUGGGAGCUGCGGGGCACUGCCCGCCCCUCCCGGCGACCCACACCUGCUGGCUCCCAAGGGGCUUCAUGGCAGGGAGCUGAGCUCAGGGGACAGCACUGUCUCCACUGCCAGGAUUGAGACGCACUAAAGCAGACGGUGCCCACUGACAGCCCACUAUGUGUGGCUCUUUCUGUGCGUGCUUACUCCAUGGCCCAGUUGUUUACCCUCUGCCACACACGCUCCCCAUGCAACACACACCCAACUCACACGGCACUCACCAAUACUCUGCACGAACAGCAUGCCCCACACAUGCACAUUCACACCACGCACAUGCUCACCCCACCAACUGUGCGCAGCUGCCGUACACUCCACAUACAUUCACCCCCAUUGCUCCCAUUUUCUCCACGCUCCUUGCACACUCACCAUGCACACUCACUGCACCAUGCACAAUCCAUGCGGCAUACACACUUCCCCUUGUCACGCACUCACUCGUGCUGUAUACACUCCUCCCACACCCUAUGCAUGUUCACUCUGUGUUACACACACUCCUCUGUACUCAUGAAUUCACUGCCCGUGCCCCAUGCAUACCCACCCACACCCCGUGCACUCACCUGCAUUUUGUGCACACUCACACCAUGCACACUCAUCCCACACUCUGCAUACAUUCAUCCCAAGCCACGCACACUCUGCCACGCUCUAUGCACACCCUUUCUCCACUCACCUAACUCCUCGUGCACUCACCCAUGCCCACGGCCCCCUGUCCUAUGCGCAAUCCCUGAUCCCCUCGCACCGUGCACACUCACCUUGCACCCCGUUCACCAACGUCUGCGCACACGACCCCCGCACCCCUCACGCCCCGCUCGCUCCCCACGCACCCUUCCCCAUCCCGCACUCCCCAUCCCGGCUCCCCGCACGGUCUUCCCCGUUCCGUGCCCGCUCCCCCNNNNNNNNNNNNNNNNNNNNNNNNNNNN
rnacentral:lncRNA from 1 species